GCGAAAGAAGCGGAAAGUUAGUCGGUUUUUCUCUGAACGUCCCUCUUCGCGUCUGGGUCUCUCUUUCGCUCUCCUGUGGGCGGAGGAGGAGGUGACGAGGGAAACCUGUUAGUUCCGCCUCCUGCGCGUCUAUAUAACGCUCAUGAUGUCUCCCCUCGAGCAGAGCUGCACCUGCCGUGGAUGUACAUAUCACUUUACUUACACGCCGUUUCUGGAGAUGUCCGCGUCCACAGAUGUUGAGAGCCAGUCGCCCGCCGUGCGCUCCCGUAGCCGGUGUCUGGACACCUUCCUCACCGUGUCCGUGAUCGCACUCUUCCUCAUGUUUAUGGUCGCGCUCGCGGGCGCGCUGUACUUCUCCAAGCACAUCGAGGACGAGAUAAACGCGCGGACGACGCGACGCUUAGACGGAUCUGCGGACGCGUUGGUCGCGCCGUUCCCCGAGACCGGAAACGCUUAUAAGAUGCAGAAUUUUGCUUACCUGAGGGCCAUUGAAAGUAAACUCAAAUCAGGUGUGAUGGCGUGGGAAUCUAUCGCGUAUGGAAAGAGUCGAACCAUCGGCUCUCUCUACAGCUAUGAUAAAAAACAGAAUGUGCUUAACGUGAAUGAGAGCGGAAGCUACUUCCUGUACGUCCAGCUCACUUUUUCCUGCACUGAAAUAUGUCCAUCUGGCCGAUUCACGGUCAGCUUUCAUAAUCAGCACAAUAGCGAGGAGCUCACCUGCACCGUCUCACUGCCUAAAUGGAGCGAAGAAACACCCAUUAGCAAGACGUGUUGGCGAGUCGUGACCUUUCCGGAAAAUAGAAACCGCCUUUUUGCCAAAUCCCAGUUUAACGGCACACUAGACUGGAAACUGGAGCUGAAUGACUCUGGCUUUGGGAUGUUUCUGGUGGACGGAUUACGAGCGGUACGUCACACGUGAUCACGAGAGGCCCGACCAAACUGCUUUCAGGCUGCUCGUUUGAGUCGCGUAACUUUGAUCCACACAGGACUUGUUUUUAAUGCUCUGAGGACCAGGACUCCACUAAUGUCCGCAGACUGUCUUGGCUAAUUUGGCAAUGCCUUCAGCUACCAGAAAGAGUGACUCUUUAACAUUUUAGCCACUAUAUUCAAAUGCAUUCUGCCAAAUUUUGCAGGUUUUCCUCUACAACAAAAGCUCAGAAAAUGCAAUGAGGUCUACAGACUUUGUCUGGACUUGAACAGAUAAGCAAUGCUUCUUAAGCACUAUUUAUAAUUUAAAUAUAUUUAUACGCGUUUAACUUUUGCCAUAUUUAUAUUCGUAUUUUGUGUAUACUGUACAUAGUGUGUGUGUGUGUAAAUGUUGUUUAAAACCGUUGUAGACAUCACUACGUGUGCGAGGCGUCAGACCGAACCCUUUCGUUCACUGAUUGCAUGUACUGUAUUAUUCUACUGAUGUUUAGGUACAUCACAGAAAUACUGAGUGAACUUUGACCAGCACAUCAACACUAGUGCCUCGGUUGGGUCUUUACGUUUGGCUGUAUGUUGUUGAAGAACUCAAAAUGCUGCAUGUGUGAAUGUUCAUGAACAUCUCUUCACGAACACGCGCUUGUGUUGUGCAUCUGGUGUGAAGGAAAGUGCAGUAUGAAUGCUAACAAACUCAGGAACUCUAGAGAUUAAUGUAACGAUGAUGACCGUGUGUGAAAUGCUUUAUUUUGUAAAUUGAGAAUAUUUAAUAAAAAUACAACAUGUUAAUUUUACAUAACUGUGGGCUGUUUGUUGAGGCGAGAGAGCGAUAUGUUGAUAACACUCUUCAGCAUUCGUUUAUGCUCCUGUUGCAGCUCAGAUGUUGAUCUUUAAGAGUUAUAAUGGAGUUCCCAUUUGUUUUGAUCAACUGGAUCUCAGGUAAAAAAAAUAAAACAUUAGAACAGACACAAAUGAGUCGGAAGUUGUCAUCCAGUUAUAGUUACAAAAUUAAAUUAAAUAUAUAGAGCUAUAAAAUGAAUGUGGAGAGCCACUCAAAUCAUUUGAUGGGAAAUGUUUGAGUUCAUAUUGAGACUUUUGAGAGUUCCGGAGAUUAACGGAGGACAAAAAUCUCCAUUCGAUUGUGUUCAUGUCUGGGAGAACCAGUUGAGAUGCUAAUGUUAUCUCAAGUGUGACUUUCUUUCCUGUGGUGAGGUCUGAUCAGACCCCAUGGGGGGAAAGUUCUGCUCUGCAUCCAGGCCACCUCGCUCGCGUCACUUUCUGUCAGAGGCGCGAGAGCAGGUUUCAGUCCUCACCGCAUGCUGACACAUCCGCACAAACAAACAAACAGCCUGAGUUUGCUUGAGACCAAAUAUAUAUUGUCCGCAGAUACUGUAGAAGCAGAAAAUAAACGGAGAAGUUUCAGAGACG
ensembl:lncRNA uncharacterized LOC107662726